rnacentral:rRNA from 1 species
GUGAGGAAUUUUCCGCAAUGGAGGCAACUCUGACGGAGCAACGCCGCGUGCAGGAGGACGCUUUUCGAAGUGUAAACUGCUUUUCUGUGGGACGAGCGAGGACGGUACCACAGGAAGAAGCCCCGGCUAACUACGUGCCAGCAGCCGCGGUAAGACGUAGGGGGCGAGCGUUAUCCGGAGUUACUGGGCGUAAAGCGCACGUAGGCGGUGCGGCGCGUUUCGCGUGACAGCUCCCGGCUUACCUGGGAGAGGAUGCGAAAGACGGUCGCACUUGAGGACCAGAGAGGGACCUGGAAUUCCGGGUGGAGCGGUGAAAUGCGUAGAGAUCCGGAGGAACACCAAAGGCGAAGGCAGGGUCCUGGCUGGUGACUGACGCUGAGGGGCGAAAGCCAGGGGAGCGAACGGGAUUAGAAACCCUUGUAGUCC